CCACCCCAGUGACACUCGACGGCUCCCGGGCUGCAGAGCGCUCCCCCUCCCCCCUGCUCAUGCAGCACCGAGGGAGCUCCGCAUACCCCGUCCCCUAAUGCAACACGGAGGAUGGGGACAGCUACAGACGGGUUCCCCAAUGCAGCAGUAAGGAGAGGGGGGACUGCAGACCUGUUCCUCUCCAGUGCAGCAUGGAAGGGGGGCAUCUGCAAACCCGCUUCUAACUCCAAUGCAGCAGUAAAGGGAGGGAGGGGGAGAGAGGUGAAGACUGUUGUACAUCAUCAGGUAGGAUUCCAUGAACAAUACCUUGUUUCCUGCCUGGCUUCCAGAAGAAUCGUUCGUACCUCAUUUUCCUAGGCUCUCAUUGGGUAUCCAAAGAUGCAGAUGGCUGGUUGAGCGAAAGACCUUGAAGAAAAUUCUGUGCUGUGCAUACCAGAUAUGUUGAGGAAUUGGUAUGCUCACUGUAAGCAAAAUAACUGCUCUUGGUUGAAGCACUGAAUCCAAUCACAUGAAGAGUGUCAAAAGGAACCUACGAGUGAGACACCAAGAUGGCAGUUCCACUGUUGAUUGAGAGGUUGAGGAAAUGGACUGAUGCAUGAGUGCUGUCAUAUGUCUGUCCAAGAAAAGGAUGUUAAAACAUGGACUCUCGUGUUGUUAAACCAGAGAAGAUCUGGGUUGCGAUCAUCCUAUCAAAAUGGACUUUGCACUUGAAUUAAUCAGGGGACUGUAUCGUGACUGUCCAAUGAAGGAUCUGUUUGAGGACUGGGUGGCAAAAUUUGACUUUUGGGUUGUGUAUGCAUAAGAGGAGAAUGCAUUUGGUAAGAGAUCUAUUGCUGCCCCUUCGCAGAAAAUGUAAUGCUUGUUAAUUGACUUAAUAAAAGGUUUUGGUUUCUUUCACACUUUGCGUUUGUCCUUUCUGGCUGAGUAUUUUAUUCUGUUGAUACUGAAGUGGGUUUACAUUCUGGGGUGCUAUUAAAGUGAGAAAUACUUUAGCUGCUAAGCACUAAAAGCAAGGUAAAAUUCUGUGCUAUACUUGAUUUAAGAUGUGGUUUUCAUUUGCAAAUUAUGUUCACUUUGCCAUGACUUCCAAUGAAUUUUUAUUUGCUCGUUUGUUCAUUCAGGUGCUUAAUGUUAGGGGGCUUGCAGUACUUGGUCUAUUGUCAGGCUACUGCUGA